AUUGAACGCUGGCGGCAGGCCUAACACAUGCAAGUCGAACGAGUGGCGGACGGGUGAGUCAUGUCUGGGAAACUGCCUGAUGGAGGGGGAUAACUACUGGAAACGGUAGCUAAUACCGCAUACCAUCAGAUGUGCCCAGAUGGGAUUAGAUAGUUGGUGGGGUAACGGCUCACCAAGGCGACGAUCCCUAGCUGGUCUGAGAGGAUGCCUAGCCACACUGGACCUGUGACACGGGCCAGACGCCUACGGGAGGCAGCAGUGGGGUAUAUUGCAAAAGGGGAGCAGGCCUGAUGCAGCCAUGCCGCUGGUAUGAAGAAGGCCUUCGGGUUGUAAAGUACUUUCAGCGGGGAGGCGUUACCCGCAGAAGAAGCACCGGCUAACUCCGUGCCAGCCGCCGCGGUAAUAC
rnacentral:rRNA from 1 species